UCGACUACGUCAUGACACUUCUAGCUCUCCCAAUCAAUUUGGCUUCAUUCCCACUCGUUCAACUAUGGAAGUGAUUUUUCUCAUUAGAAACUUGAUGGAGAAAUAUAGAGAUGUAAAAAAAGACCUACAUAUGGUUUUUAUUGAUUUAGAGAAGGUUUAUGAUAGUGUUCCAAAAGGUGUCUUAUGGAGAGUGUUAGAACAGAAGAGGAUAUCUAUUAGGUACAU
rnacentral:misc_RNA from 1 species